ACUCAAAGGAAUUGACGGGGGCCCGCACAAGCGGCGGAGCAUGCGGAUUAAUUCGAUGCAACGCGAAGAACCUUACCUGGGUUUGACAUAUGCCGGAAAGCUCCAGAGAUGGAGCCCCUUUUGUCGGUAUACAGGUGGUGCAUGGCUGUCGUCAGCUCGUGUCGUGAGAUGUUGGGUUAAGUCCCGCAACGAGCGCAACCCUCGUCCUAUGUUGCCAGCAAGCCUUCGGGCGUUGGGGACUCAUAGGAGACUGCCGGGGUCAACUCGGAGGAAGGUGGGGAUGACGUCAAGUCAUCAUGCCCCUUAUGUCCAGGGCUUCACGCAUGCUACAAUGGCCGGUACAAAGGGCUGCGAUAUCGCAAGAUGGAGCGAAUCCCAAAAAGCCGGUCUCAGUUCGGAUUGGGGUCUGCAACUCGACCCCAUGAAGUCGGAGUCGCUAGUAAUCGCAGAUCAGCAACGCUGCGGUGAAUACGUUCCCGGGCCUUGCACACACCGCCCGU
rnacentral:rRNA from 1 species